UUCCCAGCAAUUCCUAUCCCUACCUCCUCGCGGUACUGGCCGGGGUACGAGUAACCUUAGGGAAGA
rnacentral:ribozyme from 1 species